rnacentral:rRNA from 1 species
GGAGCGCACUCCUACGGGAGGCAGCAGUGGGGAAUAUUGCACAAUGGGCGCAAGCCUGAUGCAGCCAUGCCGCGUGUAUGAAGAAGGCCUUCGGGUUGUAAAGUACUUUCAGCAGUGAGGAAGGUGGGUAUGUUAAUAGCAUACUCAUUUGACGUUAGCUGCAGAAGAAGCACCGGCUAACUCCGUGCCAGCAGCCGCGGUAAUACGGAGGGUGCGAGCGUUAAUCGGAAUUACUGGGCGUAAAGCGCAUGCAGGUGGUUUGUUAAGUCAGAUGUGAAAGCCCGGGGCUCAACCUCGGAAUUGCAUUUGAAACUGGCAAACUAGAGUACUGUAGAGGGGGUAGAAUUUCAGGUGUAGCGGUGAAAUGCGUAGAGAUCUGAAGGAAUACCGGUGGCGAAGGCGGCCCCCUGGACAGAUACUGACACUCAGAUGCGAAAGCGUGGGGAGCAAACAGGAUUAGAUACCCUGGUAG